UACGUAGGGUGCAAGCGUUAAUCGGAAUUACUGGGCGUAAAGUGUGCGCAGGCGGCUUGGCAAGUCGAGUGUGAAAUCCCCGGGCUUAACUUGGGAAUUGCGCUCGAAACUACGUGGCUGGAGUGUGGCAGAGGAAGGUGGAAUUCCACGUGUAGCGGUGAAAUGCGUAGAGAUGUGGAGGAACACCAAUGGCGAAGGCAGCCUUCUGGGCCAACACUGACGCUCAUGCACGAAAGCGUGGGGAGCAAACAGG
rnacentral:rRNA from 1 species